GUGCAGACACAGAGGAUGGAACCCAAGUGAAGACACAGAGGACGAUGGAACCCAAGUGCAGACACAAAGGACAGAACUCAAGCGCAGACACAAAUGGGUAGAUCUUCACAGGACCUUCCUCUAUUGAACUGAUUUCUUCUAAAUAUGGAAGAGAACCCGACAACUAUUGGUCCACAUCUUCUGGUUGGUUGGUUUAGGUUGUGUGCUUGCCACAAACUUCAAGAUCUGAAAAUUUUUCCUACCCUACAACCUCUUCCCCAAUACACACUUCUGAGGAGACCCAAAUGACUGACUUUGGUUCAAGGAUUCAGAAGUAAACUUCAUUCCUUUUCCUGAGUUUGGAGUUCAUCUUCCCUCACUAAAGGGUCCCACUGGACGAGACUGCGAAGCAUGCCUGUCCUGAGGAAGGUUCCUGCCUUGAGUUUCUGCCCGACUUGGCUCAAUGAUGAAUUUUUAACCUGGAAACAUCGUAUGAAAUAAACCCUUUCCUCCCCAA